AUUGAACGCUGGCGGCAUGCCUUACACAUGCAAGUCGAACGGCAGCACGGGAGCUUGCUCCUGGUGGCGAGUGGCGGACGGGUGAGUAAUACAUCGGAACGUACCCUGAAGUGGGGGAUAACGUAGCGAAAGUUACGCUAAUACCGCAUAUUCUGUGAGCAGGAAAGAGGGGGAUCGCAAGACCUCUUGCUUUAGGAGCGGCCGAUGUCGGAUUAGCUAGUUGGUGAGGUAAAGGCUCACCAAGGCGACGAUCCGUAGCGGGUCUGAGAGGAUGAUCCGCCACACUGGGACUGAGACACGGCCCAGACUCCUACGGGAGGCAGCAGUGGGGAAUUUUGGACAAUGGGCGCAAGCCUGAUCCAGCCAUGCCGCGUGAGUGAAGAAGGCCUU
rnacentral:rRNA from 1 species